GGGUAAGGGCGGGCAGAUUCAAUUUUCUGCCACCGAAUACAUUAGCAUGGGAUAAUGGAAUAGGACCCUGUCCUCCUAUUUUCAGUUGGUUUUGGCAGCGCGAGGACUAGGGUAAUGAUUAAUAGGGAUAGUUGGGGGCAUUAAUAUUUAAUUGUCAGAGGUGAAAUUCUUGGAUUUAUGAAAGAUUAACUUCUGCGAAAGCAUCUGCCAAGGAUGUUUUCAUUAAUCAAGAACGAAAGUUAGGGGAUCGAAGACGAUCAGAUACCGUCGUAGUCUUAACCAUAAACGAUGCCGACCAGCGAUUAGGAGACGUUGAAUACAAAACACCACCAUCGGCGCGGUCGUCCUUGGCGUUCGUGUUCACGCACGGGCGCGAGGGCGGUUUAGCCCGGUGGCACCGGUGAAUGACUCCCUAGACUUUUUGUUGGGGAA
rnacentral:rRNA from 1 species